rnacentral:tRNA from 1 species
UGGCAUGCCGCGAUCCCGAAAGCGCCCGCGAUACCAUGCUGGAGGUC